rnacentral:rRNA from 1 species
UGGGGAAUUUUGCACAAUGGGCGCAAGCCUUAUGCAGCGACGCCGCGUGAGGGAUGAAGGCCUUCGGGUUGUAAACCUUUUUCGCUCAUGGUCAAGCCGCAGCUUUGGGUUGUGGUGAGGGUAGUGGGUAAAGAAGCGCCGGCUAACUACGUGCCAGCAGCCGCGGUAAUACGUAGGGCGCGAGCGUUGUCCGGAAUUAUUGGGCGUAAAGGGCUUGUAGGCGGUUGGCCGCGUCUGCCGUGAAAUCCUCUGGCUUAACUGGGGGCGUGCGGUGGGUACGGGUUGACUUGAGUGCGGUAGGGGAGACUGGAAUUCCUGGUGUAGCGGUGGAAUGCGCAGAUAUCAGGAGGAAUACCGGUGGCGAAGGCGACUUUCUGGACUUUUACUGACGCUCAGGUACGAAAGCGUGGGGAGCAAACAGG